UUGAUUUCAAUCUUGUAAUUUAAAACAAUGUAUCAAAGUAGUUAGAUAAAUAUUCAUUAUUGGCCUAUAAUUGAUUAUGAUGCAUAUAUCCCACCAAUAGGAAUACUUAUCUAUUAUUUUUGUAUCAGUCAUUUGCUAAACUUGAUAAAUAAUAAACUCAAGUGGUUUCUUACAAAGCUUCAUAUAUAUUAAGCUCUAUUUUACUUUUAUUCAAUUUCUUUUGUUCUAAUGUUAUCCUCAUUUCAUUUUAUAAAUUAUCUGAAUAAAAGAACUUAAAGAUCCUUACGGAUUUCCAGUAAAUAUCCUCAUUAAGUCAACCUCUCCUCCUCAUCGGUGUGCUUCUUCUUCUUGGGUUAUCAACAGGUUCUGUUCUCCUUUUCUCUGUCUAUUGUUUUUGUUGAUCGUGAUUUGUUCUUGGGUGUGCCUCUCCUCCUCUGGUGUUUUUGCUCCUGUAUGUUUUAUAUUGAAGGAUCUUGUUAAUUUGUUGCAAAGGUGUCAAGCAAAAUGCUCCUGCAUGAAUAGAUUUUGGUCUUAGGUUUGCUAGAUCUUCUUCCCUAAUCUGUUUAAUCGUCUCCCUAAUUUUAAACAAUCUAAUUAGCUUGCUAAAAAAUUACAGCCUUGUUCGUCACCUGUUCUCGCGAUUCAUCGAAGGUUCGACGAAUGAAGUAGGAUUGAACUGGUAAUUUUUGAGCUUAAACUGGCUUUACUGUGUUAAAUGGAGCAUUUCAUUUGAUGAAACUAGAUUUUGUUAGUCAAAAAAAUGAAGAAACAUUGAGGAAUUUAACUGAAAUAAUAUUGGUUUUUUUCUCGUUUGAUUCAAUCUUGGCUUGGAUUUAAUUGAAGUAAGGAAAGUGAAGUUGAAUUCAAUUAUUCGUAUCCUUGUGCCAUGAUAAAAAAUGCUAGGAACACAAGAGCGCAGAAAAUCGAGUUGUCACCUAUUGCAUACUGUGAAUUUCCAUGCUGUGAAUUUCUAGGCAUUGUAACUUCACCUGUCUGCUGUUGUCUAAAGUUGUGCAUUUGUUCAGUACCUAGGCGAAAAUUGAGUUGUCACCUAUUGCAUACUUUAGCUUUGCAGCAAUUUUUUGUUUCAAAACGAGUGAUGUAGGAUAAGGCUUUAGCUUUGCAAAAUGUUGUGUGUUUCAAAACAAGUGAUGUAAGAUAAGUAAGGAGAAGAGAUAGACUAUUGGGAAAAUCUGAAAUUGACUGGUAAUAAUGUGUGAGGAGCAGACAAAAUUGGGAGGAAACAAAAGAAAUAUAUAGAGAACAUCGAAAAGGAAUCAACACAGUAAGGAAUCAAACUCAGUGAGAUUGAUAUUAUUUAGAAUUUUUAGAAUCAAUUAGCACCUCUCGUAUGUAUAUAUUAUUUUUGUGUAUUAAAUAAGAAUUACAACCCCAUGCGAAUGUUUAACAUCACCCAUCAACGACAUUAUAAAUUAUUAAGUAAACAUACGUUUAUUAUUUGAGGUUUACGCAUGUACUUAUGUUUACAACUUGAGAAUUUAAUAAUGGAUUAAAUCGGCAUAAUGUCAAUAAUGAAAUGCAUUUUCUAAUGAGUAUUCGACGUCACCAUAAGCCAUAAGCCAUUUUCAUCUUAUAGCAAUAACACAAGGCAUAGCAUUGACAUAUAUACUGAUAUAUAAAUAAAUUUUUAAUUUAUUGAUAUAUAUUAUAUAUCUUUUUAGUCUGUUGCUCAGCUGGAGGUAUAGCAAAACAAAUGGCAGUGUUCUUCUGCUAGAGUUUGGUUAUUUUGCUGAAAUUUAUUUAUUGGGCUAACUUUUUUGAGCUAUGAAUCUUAAGUCAUAAUGUGUUAAUGAUAUGGUUGUAAAAGGUUUUUCCACACAUAAACCCUGAUUUCUAACUUUAUCAAUCUCUGAUUCAUGAUUCUGAUUCUGAUUCUGAUAUGCUUGUUUUAUUAAAUUUGUGCUGCAGAGAUGGGCAAAUAGCGUUAGUAGCAAUUUUUGUUUUGAUGCAUGAGAGGUAAAUUGAAUUGGUGGUUCAAUCGUGAUUUUACAUUCAUAUGGGUUUUAUUCGCAAGUGCCUUGAGUAAACUAUUAUAGUAGAUUGUUUAUUUUAAAUGUAGUAGUUGAUCCUCAUAUAUGAGGGGAAGAGAUUAAUAUAUUUUGAAUUUGACUUGCUGCAUGCAGUAAUUCUGUAGCUAAGGAGCGAAAACGUGCUCUAAUUCUAUGCUGGUUUAAGUAAAGAGUGUUAUUAACAAUCAA